UCUUUUUUUUUGUUGGGUGUUUAUCUCUCUCUCUCUCUCCUCACUCCAUUCUAUCCCCUCACAUUCCCACGAAUCCCACAUACACAACCCACACUGCCUCCCAUAAUCCCUAGAAAACGUCCUUCCAUUCCACCGUCUUCACCCUCUUUAUUUCUCUGUCUCUCUCUUCUCAAGCUCCACCACCAUUACCAGUUUACCACCACCCACAAAAAUCUCCAAAACCCCGAAUCCCACACAAUUUUUACAGAUUCAUCUUUCCACCGCCUCCCCCCCUUUAUUUCUCUCUGUCUCUCUCUUCUCAAGCUCUACCACCAUUACCAGUUUACCACCACCUACAAAAAUCUCCAAAACCCCGAAUCCCACAAAAUUUUUACAGAUUCAUCUUACUUCCAAAUUUGCUCCAAUUCUUCUUGUUCGUACUCCCAAUCUGAAGAUUAGGAUCAAUCCCAACGAAAUUACGAGUCUUACAAUCACAACCCUCAAGAAACCUCAACUAAUUAUGAUGGGUUGCACUAGCAGAAGUGAUGGAAUGAGGAUGGCAACCGGUGGGAGAAAGAAGAAAUCAUGUGGGUGAUUUUGUUGUCUGACUCGCGAGUUGACUCGGCCAAACUCGGUAAGUUUUACUGAUUUCUUAUUGAUUUGAGUUGACUCGGUAAAUAUCGACCGAGUCAAUCUGAGUCAACUCGGAUUCCAGUGAAACGGCGAUACGGGUGUCGGUAUCGUACCGGUGAGUCCCGUUCCGGUUAUGACUCGGCCGAGUCAACUCGGACUCGGCCGAUUUGGCGAACCAUGCUCUCAACAGAUUUCUUCAGCUUUCUUCGUCAAAUAAGGGUUGGUUAUCAAGCCACAGAAUACCUUCAACAGAG
rnacentral:lncRNA from 1 species